GCAGACGGCGGAGAGCUGGGAUGGAGCGCGCCCUGGCCCGCUGGCCUUGGCCGCAGCUCCUCGGGAGAGCCGGGGCGCCCGCGCGAGAACCUCCCUACCCGGGUCUCUCUUCAAGGAUGACAUCAUCCGUUUGCCUCCCUGUCUUCAAGGACCACCUCUGGAUGCCAAGUUGAUGCCAAGGUUCUUGCUGCUCACCUCCACCUCAUGAGCAUGCUAGGAGCAUGGAUUCCUGGAUGCCACCAGCAUACAAAGCAGCCACUGGCAGUGACCCCCAGGACCAGGACGACGAAGGAUGAAGAGGACCAGAACUGACCAGCUGUCCCUCUUGGCUAACGGCUUAAACCAAUGCCCUAGUGAGGGGGCGUUGGUCAUUAACGCCGGACCUUUGCUAUGCUUCUGCCUUGAUGCUAUGACUGCUUUUCUAUGUGUCUCUGCUUGUGUUAACAUGUCAGCGACCUGGAGGGUUUCCAACCCCAGGGAGGUGUCAGUCUUUCUCAGUCCACCCCGUUGUUACCCCCGUGAUGUUCUGAAUGGAAGGGUCCCCUUGGGAACUUCUCAGGAGGGGGACCUGGGCCAAGGGCUUAACCAGCAUCUCACUGGCAAUUCCAAGGCCCGGGGUGGGCUUCUGGAAUGAGCAUGUGCCCCACACCAUGCUACUGAACUGCCAAGGGCAUCCCCACCACCUUUGAGAUCACCCUGUCCUUUCUGGGGAACGGGGUUGAGAAGAGCAACCUCCCAGGGUGUUGUGAGUAUUGAAUGAGUCCAAGCAGCCUCGGGUAGGGCCAGGCAUAGAGGAGGCAGUCAACAAAUGUUUGUUGAAACAGUUUGGUUGGCCAGUCCAUCCCUACCCCUCUCACCUGUCUUACACCUCUUAUUUAUUCUCCCACAGCGCUCCGGACAGCCCUAGUCCACGGGGCUCUCCCUGCACCAGCCAAGCUUCUCGAAAGGCCUGUCUACACUCGCUGUCUUCCUUCCUCACCUCCAAUUUCCUCUCCAACCCACUGCUUCCUGACCUCUUCUACUCCGCUGAUCGGCUGUCACUAAGGUCAGCCCAUCCUCGACACCCUGGCGGCGACAGUCAGCUGAAGAACUGGACGGAAGAGGCAGAAGAGUUGCCCUGGACCAGCGCUCCUUCAGGACGGUCACCUGGCAUAUCAUGCCCACCUGGUGCCUCGCGACUCCCUCCUGGUUUGGGCUGAAGCCGUCUCGAAUCCUCCGUGGGACAUGACCGUGGACCCGCCACCCCAUUACCCUCCAGCUCCGAAAUCACUUCAUCACGUCACUGGCUGCCUUGUGUCUCAUUGAGCGGCUAUGUCAAUCAUUCACCACAUCAACCUGCUGUUGUUACUAUUGCUAUGCAUAAUUCCUCUUUUUUUUAAAUGUUACAAAUUACGCCGCAGCUAAUGGCUUAGCACAUCCACUUUUUUUUUUUCAUUCUUACGAAUUAUUUUCCCACACCUAGAAAUGAUCGUUGUUUCAUGGUAUGUCAGUUUCUCCUGCUAGGCUGUGAGCCCCUUAAGGGCAAGAAGCUUGUUGAAUUGAUCUUUGUAUCUCUAAUGCCUGAAAUGUUGUCGAUGCUAAAUGUUAGAUGAGAGGAUGGAAGGAUGGAUGAAGAUGUGAGUGAGUGGUUGGUUGGCUGAGGAGGAGAGGAUGGAAGGAUGGAUGGAGAUGUGAGUGAGCAGGUCAGUGGUUGGCUGAGGAGGAGAGGAUUGAAGGAUGGAUUAUGAUGUGAGUGAGUGGGUCAGUGGUUGGUUGGCUGUUAGAGGAGAGGAUGGAAGGAUGGAUGGAGAUGUGAGUGAGCAGGUCAGUGGUUGGCUGAGGAGGAGAGGAUUGAGGAUGGAUGAUGAUGGGAGUGAGUGCGUGGUUGGUUGGCUGUUAGAGGAGAGGAGGAAAGGAUGGGUGAAUAAAAGGAUUGGUGAAUGAACAAGUGAACUUCUUAGGGUUGAGUUUCUUGAAUGAAGGGCCAGGAAUUUUUGUAUGAAUAUUGACUAAUAGCAGAAGGCUUACAGCAUUUUAUAAUGUCCAGCGAUGUAUUAGCAUUUUGUUAUGAUAUUGCUAGUUUAUCUCUGUUAAAAAGUGUUUUUCUGUCAUUUUUAACUUGCAUUGCUUUGAUUACUAAUGACGGUUGAACAUUUUCACAUGUGUUUGUUAAAAAAUUGCAUUUUAUCUUCUGUGAACUGUUUGUCCAAGUCCACCGGGUCAUGGCUUUGUGAUGAGACUGUGAAGGAUGGAACGAGUGUCCUCAGGACGUAGUGAGCCCUUCCUCACUGGAGGCAUUCGAGGGGCAGGCCAGGCAGAUACGCGGUGAGGGUGGCUUUAAGGAGAUUCAAUCAGUGGGAGUGGGGUUGGCCUAGAUGACCCUUCAUUUGACCUUAGGAUUUUGCUUCUUCCUGGGAAAUGGGCAUCUUCCCUUUGUCAGCCCAGCAGUAUCUAAGGCCACAUCCCCCUGGUGGGCUUGUGCAUUAGUGAUUGACAACCUCUAACCUCACCCUCUAUAACUCUUGUGGGGCAGGACUAUCUCUUUGACCCUCCAGGGUCCAGACAACUGUGCUACCAUCUUGUAGAGUUAAGUGGUGGACUUCCCACCCGCCCCCCUUCCCCAUUUCACCUUGAGGAGGACACGAGCCCCUGCACCUCCAUCUGCCACCUCUCAGCGCAAUCAGCUGAGGCGAUCAGCUGCCGUGUACGUUCCAGGGGUCCUGUGAGCAAACGUCCCCUAGGCCUGCGUGUUGGUCUUUGGGGUUUAAUUGAUUAAGGGGACAUGUCGGAUCAGGUCUGAUAGUGAAUCCUCCUUCAGAAAUGGGACAGUUCAAUUCCGUGAGCCAAGGAGCAGAAUGGACCCCAUGUUCUCCUCGGGCUUCCCCUCAUGGUCCACCCCAAGGCUAGCCGGGGCUCAAAGGUCACUGUGGCCAUUCGGGGAGGGCACGUGACCCAAGGAGGGCUUGCCCCUGCUUUCCAGAACACCCUCUGCCCUCAGCCGAGGGCCGCAUCUUCCCACUGACCCUCUACUAUAGCACCGAGUGCUGUUUGCCUGCAUCGGAAUUUCUCACCCACAUGUUUGCCCCAGCAUCGAAGCUUGGGAGGCCAGCGAUGAUUCCCAACGUUAUUUUGAUCCAUCCAUCCAUCCAUGCAUUUGGCCUACGUCUCUUGACCUGGUGCUUUGGCCUUUCCCUCUCCUGAAAGCAAACCUUUUCCUCUUGGGCAGGCUGUGUAGUGCCAUGGGCUGUGGUUAUGAAGUGAACGCCCUUAUUUGUGGCUUCUUCCUCCGGGGUCACUGCUCUGAGCACGUCCCAGCUGGAUGUCAUCUGCCACCGUCACCCACACGGCUUCCUUCCCCAUGGCGCUUUCCCAUGCAUCACACACCGUGAGGGAACCAGGGCCAGGGUCCGAGAGCGGCCCCCCUCCCCCGCCCGUGAGCGGAGAUGUCCCCCCCAGGCCACCCUGCCUGGUGCAUGGUCCCUGCCAUGAGCUUUGCCCUCAGCCUUUCAGCUUCCUCCCACCAGAUGGCAGUGUUGUAACUCAUCCCUUCAUUCUUUCAUCCCUUCAUUCGUUCACUCAGUCCCCAAACAUUGAAAAGAUCCGCCGGUGCUAUACUAGAGCUGGCUCACGGGACGCAUUCCGACCAUCCCCUUUCGAAGGAAAAGAUGGGCAUGUUUGCCAGGGGCCAUGUUUGUGUGUCAGUAACAAGGCGGGACCCUUGAUUUAGCUCCCACCCCUAGACCCGAGUUCUGCGGGAAGUUUGAUAGCCCUCUCUGACUUUGUUCCUCCCCAAACUAAGUUGAUUAGUAAUCAGCAAACCGUGUUCCUUGGUGCUCCGAAAUCAUAGCCCGUAGCCUCAAGAGGCCAGAAUGAGAGCUGGGGGUGGGGGGUGGGGUCUGAAACGAAAGGGCUGAUUCUGGCCGUGAGCAGGCUUUCAAGUCAUUAGAACACCCUGAUCUUGCACAAAGGGGAACUUAGAGUCAUUCCUGCCCCUCUGAGAUUUGCUAAUUCUGGGGUCUAUUUAGAAAAAAUUGGGGAAGAUGAUUGCUUGCUUGGAUGGCAAGGAUCGUGCCCCAUGCAGGGUCUGCACAGAACAAUCUACUGGCACAACAGGGCAUCCGAGGCACCACAGCGCUUGGCGAACCCCUGGAUGCAGGUCCCAGGGCCAGGUGGCAUCCACCACCGGCCCCCAUCUCCAACUUAGCUCACUGCUACCUGCUUGGGACAAGGCGUAGAUCUAGGGGCUCUACUGAGAAUUCUGUAUUUGAUUUAUUGCCUUGGACAGUGGGGGUGGUCGACCAAAGCCAGGACCCUGGAGCUGGACAAACGUGUGGUUUUUUAAACUGACGGUGACAGCUUGAGUCUGUCUCCUGGGAGAUCAUGGCACCCACCUCGCAGGGCUGUUGUGAGGAUUGAUGUAACUAGGAUUUUGAACUGUGAUUCUGAAAGGGUGUGCGCGUGCCCCCAGGGGUGGGCUGGGGGCGGGAUGACAGGCCGGGAGGGGCAGCCUGAUUUGGGCAGGUUAGUGGGAAAUCUUUUUGUCAAACACGCAGUGGGUAUUGUGGGAACGAAUGCUAAAUUUGUAUGGCGUUCGAAGGUUAGGUAGUUGUAAUUUUGGCAGGAACCUUCAUGCUGGGUAAUGACGACCCCUUUGGGCAAUGCCCUGGACCCCCUGGGGUACACGUUCACACCUGUCUCCGGAAUCGGAAUCGGUUGGAAGGCCCCAUCUGUGUCUUGCCUACCGCUGUGUCUGGCCUGUGGGCGGCACUUAUCCUUCACGAGAGACCCCUCCCAGCAGUGUCCUCCCCCCAAAAUAUUAGGCACCAGCUGUCAAAGACACUACACCUCUCCCCACUAAUGUUCCCUCUCCCCAUUCACAACAUUUGGGCUCAAAUGUCAGCAGCCUGGGUGCCUAACACAGUACCAGGCCAGUGGUAGGGGGGUCACCUUCCAUUUCCGUUGAAAGGAUGGAUAGGUAGAUGGUCAAAUAACAAAAUUGUAACCCAUGCAAGCGACGGUUGUUUAUAACCUUUACUAAGAGAUUGUAUUUUGUUCCUAAUUAACCUGUUAACAGUUGUUGUAUCUUAUGGACUUUUGUAUGAUGUGUGUUGUUCGAAAACCAGGACUCUUGCUUCGGGUGUCACUUGAUGGAACUUUCGCUGUCUGAUUAAUGAGUCAGUGUUCUGUAUUAGAAAUGAGAAUCCGGGGGGCGCUUAACUAACUGUGUGGUGUUGGGCAAGUCACUCCUCCUUCCUCUCUGACCCUCGGUCUCCUUUUCUCUAAGCUGUGGGUCACCAGAAAGCUUACCUCACAGGGUUGUUGUGAGGGCCCAGGGCUGCUAAUGAAAUGCUGGCUGUCACUGAGAAUGGUUGCGUGUUGGGGGGCUGUCUGGAAGGGAACAGGGAAGCCUUUCCUAGUUCCAAGUGAAUAAAAAGUCAGCCUUGACCUUAUGCUAAGAUUGUAUUUCCAACAGUCAGUGGGCUGUGUAAGGCAGAGGCCCAGCAGUCUGCAAGCGUUUAGCGAUGUGGGCCCAGGGUAAACAUUGGUUUGGUUAAUGAGUGAUGGCUUUUUCCCUUCCUCAGAGCCUCCCUUCCUCUCCCCUCGCAUCCUGGGCUGCUGCUUGUUGCGUGCAGGGUGACUGCUUUGGGUUUGUCCUACCUGUCGCUGCCUGGCCUGUGGAGGGGCUUCUGCAGACGUCUGUGGGUGCCCCGGGGUGUUUCUUAGGGAGGACGGCAGGGGGACAGUUUCGAGAGAGCCCGAGCAGGGUUUCUGGGUAACAUCUUUAGGGACUAAAGCACCUUCUUCUGCCUUUUAAGGGAAAGGCCAGUGCUCCUAAUUUCCUCCACCCGCUUCCUUCUUUCCCUGACUGUAAGGUAAACAAAUGAGUCUUCAGCCCCCUCCAUGGGCCUGGAACCAAACCUGGGGCUGUUCCACGCCCACAAGCUCCCUGCUUGAUUGGCAUGUGGGCCCAUUUUACAGAUGAGGAAGUUGAGAAUCAGGGACAGUGGAGUGUCAGGGCCAGGACUGAACAGUCUGCCAUGAAAAGCCAGGGGGCACUUUUUCCACUUGGCCAAACAAGCCCUCCCAGUUACCGUGGCCAGCCUCUGCCAGCCCAAGUGUGCCCCAGUGUGUCUCUGUCCCCACCACACACCUAGCAGUGCUCCCGUGGAGGUCACGCUCUCCAGAGCUCAGUGGGACCUGGAAACUUGGCCGAAUUAGAUACUGCCCUGCUCUGGAGGAAGUCCCAGGAGACACCCCUGCAGGGGUCAUUUUGGAUCAGGGGUCUCCACGUGACCACGGACUUCCUUUCCUGGCCCUUGUCUCACGUGUGUGGGACAUCAGAGUUCUGCUAGAACAUCCCAGAUUCCAUUCCAGGUGGGCUUGAGCUGGGGAUCUCGUUGAGUCCCUCCCUCCUGGCCCCUCCCUCUGUGGAAGCCUCACCACCCUCCUGGUUCGGCCUCUGCCUUUCACAGCUGCAGUGGGCUGUGUCUGCACCAUGGCCACCCCAUGUCCCUGAGAAUGUGUCUGAAGCUCCCGAGGGGCGGGCCCCACGCUAGGAACAGGUUGAUAGGGUCCCCCUCCCGGUAGACUGUGGGUCUGUGUGUGGGUGUCUGCUCCCUGAUGGACCUCGGUCCUGUGUGACCCAGGGGGAGGGACUUUCUCAGGUGCCUGGUGUUUUCAGGGCCUCGUCCUCUUGAGGGGGGCAGGCCUGGGUCCCCGCCUCUGGAGGGCAGGUAGAAAGUCGAAGCUCAGUGAGGUCGUGCCUAAGCAGCUAUUAGACCCCCUCCCUGACUCUGAGACCUAUGCUUCUCUGACCCUCACAGCCCUGCUGUCUACACUAGUAGGUGCCUAAUAGGUGCUCGCUGACUGAUAAGGCAGGGUUUUAGUGGAUGUGAAAAGCUGAAUUGACUGUUGGCUGAUGUACAUGUUGAAUCUGCAUGCGUUUCUGUAAGAGAAAAAGGUGUGUUUUCUUGGCAAAGACUCUUCAGGGCAAAUCCUGAGGGUCUUUGUCUGCGCUGGGGGCUCACCCCAGGGGGUGCAGCCCAGAGGGCGGCCGCCGGACGGACCCUCCUGAUGGAAAUAGCUGUCUUCUCAACAUUGUUGGAAAUAUUUAUAUCUAGAAUAAAACUUUAUUUGGGCUAAAAUGUA